GACGAACGCUGGCGGCGUGCCUAAUACAUGCAAGUAGAACGCUGAAGGAGGAGCUUGCUUCUCUGGAUGAGUUGCGAACGGGUGAGUAACGCGUAGGUAACCUGCCUGGUAGCGGGGGAUAACUAUUGGAAACGAUAGCUAAUACCGCAUAAUAGUAGAUGUUGCAUGACAUUUGCUUAAAAGGUGCAAUUGCAUCACCACCAGAUGGACCUGCGUUGUAUUAGCUAGUUGGUGAGGUAACGGCUCACCAAGGCAACGAUACAUAGCCGACCUGAGAGGGUGAUCGGCCACACUGGGACUGAGACACGGCCCAGACUCCUACGGGAGGCAGCAGUAGGGAAUCUUCGGCAAUGGACGGAAGUCUGACCGAGCAACGCCGCGUGAGCGAAGAAGGUUUUCGGAUCGUAAAGCUCUGUUGUAAGAGAAGAACGAGUGUGAGAGUGGAAAGUUCACACUGUGACGGUAUCUUACCAGAAAGGGACGGCUAACUACGUG
rnacentral:rRNA from 1 species